ACGACAUCAGCUGCUCCAUAAUUCCCACACGAAUUGCUUGAAGUUACGCCAAAGAGCAGCCCGAAAUUGGGUCUGUAGCUCAGUUGGUUAGAGUCCACCCUGAUAGUAGUCGCAGUCGACUCCAGACCACAUUGGUGGAANNNNNGACUGAUCGUUCUUAAAAUUGGAAGUGAUAGAAGUAGAUACGACGUACUUCACUGGUAACGGUACAGGCUAAGGUAAAAUUUGAUGAGUUCUCUUAACUGAGAAAUUCGAAUUUUCGGCGAAUGUCGUCUUCACGAUAACCAGUGCUUGGUAUAUGGUCAAGUGAAGUAAGCGCAU
rnacentral:misc_RNA from 1 species